UAGGGAAUCUUCGGCAAUGGACGAAAGUCUGACCGAGCAACGCCGCGCGAGUGAAGAAGGUUUUCGGAUCGUAAAACUCUGUUGUUAGAGAAGAACAAGGACGUUAGUAACUGAACGUCCCCUGACGGUAUCUAACCAGAAAGCCACGGCUAACUACGUGCCAGCAGCCGCGGUAAUACGUAGGUGGCAAGCGUUGUCCGGAUUUAUUGGGCGUAAAGCGAGCGCAGGCGGUUUCUUAAGUCUGAUGUGAAAGCCCCCGGCUCAACCGGGGAGGGUCAUUGGAAACUGGGAGACUUGAGUGCAGAAGAGGAGAGUGGAAGUCCAUGUGUAGCGGUGAAAUGCGUAGAUAUAUGGAGGAACACCAGUGGCGAAGGCGGCUCUCUGGUCUGUAACUGACGCUGAGGCUCGAAAGCGUGGGGAGCAAACAGG
rnacentral:rRNA from 1 species